rnacentral:rRNA from 1 species
AGUGAACGCUGGCGGCGUGCUUAACACAUGCAAGUCGAACGAGAACGGAUUAUAGCUUGCUAUAAUCGUCAGCUAAGUGGCGCACGGGUGAGUAAUGUAUAGGUAAUAUGCCUCUUACUAAGGGAUAACAAAUGGAAACGUUUGCUAAUACCUUAUACUCCUUAUUAACAGAAGUUAAUAAGGGAAAGAUUUAUUGGUAAGAGAUUAGCCUGUAUUGUAUCAGUUAGCUGGUGGGGUAAUGGCUUACCAAGACUAUGACACAUAACUGGUUUGGGAGGAUGAUCAGUCACACUGGAACUGAGACACGGUCCAGACUCUUACGGGAGGCAGCAGUGGGGAAUAUUGCACAAUGGACGAAAGUCUGAUGCAGCAACGCCGCGUGGAGGAUGACACAUUUCGGUGCGUAAACUCCUUUUAUAUGAGAAGAUAAUGACGGUAUUAUAUGAAUAAGCACCGGCUAACUCCGUGCCAGCAGCCGCCGUAA